CGAGAAAUCUAAUCUUAUUCCAAUUCCAACAUGCACUGGUAGUAGUAAACACCACCAAUUACAGUAAAGACCCGACACAGUACGCCCGAAACCCGACCCACAAUCUCAAAAAGGAAAAGGCUAAAAAAAAAACGAAAACCAGCAAAUCAGUACACUGCGAUCACAUAGUUAACUAGACUAGAUCAUCAUUAACAUUAAUUGAUACGAUUAAUAAUCUAAGAGAGUUGACCACAGUCAGCAAUCACAACGGGCUUCGAGCACCUGCCGGAGCUAGAUCCAACGGCUUCCACUUUCUUAAUCACGUCCAUUCCUUCAAUAACUUGACCAAACACCACGUGUUUCCCAUCAAGCCACUCGGUUUUGGCCGUACAGAUGAAAAACUGAGAUCCGUUAGUUCCAGGUCCAGCAUUGGCCAUAGAGAGAAUUCCAGGUCCAGUAUGCUUUUUAACGAAAUUCUCGUCGGCGAAUUUGGCGCCGUAGAUCGAUUCACCGCCGGUACCGUUUCCAGCAGUGAAAUCACCUCCUUGACACAUAAAUCCAGGAAUCACACGGUGAAAUGAUGAUCCUUUGUAGUGUAAC
rnacentral:lncRNA from 1 species